UUAGCCCUAUCGCAACAAGGCAAGUGCAGGAGGCCGGUCAUGUUUAUCGAUAAUGUGGUAUUCGCCGGAGUGCUGACUGUAAGCCUCAUGGUGCUGUUUUUUGUAGGGUUUGGAUUUUUUAUCUGGAAAGACGCGAACAAGCGUAAAAAACCUUAGGUCUUUCCGGGUUACAUGAGCACGCAAGGCAUUUUGGGCGACUUCGGUCGCCCUUUUUUUUG
rnacentral:sRNA from 1 species